rnacentral:rRNA from 1 species
UACGGAGGAUGCGAGCGUUAUCCGGAUUUAUUGGGUUUAAAGGGUGCGUAGGUUGUUUUUUAAGUCAGCGGUGAAAGUUUGUGGCUCAACCAUAAAAUUGCCGUUGAAACUGGAAGACUUGAGUGUGUUUGAGGUAGGCGGAAUGCGCAGUGUAGCGGUGAAAUGCUUAGAUAUUGCGCAGAACUCCGAUCGCGAAGGCAGCCUACCGGCGCGCAACUGACGCUCAUGCACGAAAGCGUGGGUAUCGAACAGG